rnacentral:rRNA from 1 species
UACGUAGGGCGCAAGCGUUGUCCGGAAUUAUUGGGCGUAAAGCGCUCGUAGGCGGUUUGUCGCGUCUGCUGUGAAAACCUAAGGCUCAACCUUGGGCUUGCAGUGGGUACGGGCAAACUAGAGUACUGCAGGGGAGACUGGAAUUCCUGGUGUAGCGGUGAAAUGCGCAGAUAUCAGGAGGAACACCGGUGGCGAAGGCGGGUCUCUGGGCAGUAACUGACGCUGAGGAGCGAAAGCGUGGGGAGCGAACAGG